rnacentral:tRNA from 1 species
AGCUCCGAGGUGUUACUUCCACGCCAAAAUGCAAAUUUGGAGAAGCACCCCAUAAGUGCCGGGGCUU